rnacentral:sRNA from 1 species
AAGUGUGAGGGAUAGCAGUGGAAAUCCUUUUGUGCCGGGGUUCGGCAUAAAAGAUUGCAACGGAUAGCCCGGUUCGCC